UACGAAGGGUGCAAGCGUUAAUCGGAAUUACUGGGCGUAAAGCGUGCGUAGGCGGUUAUUUAAGUCUGUUGUGAAAUCCCCGGGCUCAACCUGGGAAUGGCAAUGGAUACUGGAUAGCUAGAGUGUGAUAGAGGAUGGUGGAAUUCCCGGUGUAGCGGUGAAAUGCGCAGAUAUCGGGAAGAACACCCGUGGCGAAGGCGGCACUCUGGGACGGUACUGACGCUGAGACGCGAAAGCGUGGGGAGCGAACAGG
rnacentral:rRNA from 1 species